UACGUAGGUCCCGAGCGUUGUCCGGAUUUACUGGGCGUAAAGCGAGCGCAGGUGGUUUAUUAAGUCUGGUGUAAAAGGCAGUGGCUCAACCAUUGUAUGCAUUGGAAACUGGUAGACUUGAGUGCAGGAGAGGAGAGUGGAAUUCCAUGUGUAGCGGUGAAAUGCGUAGAUAUAUGGAGGAACACCGGUGGCGAAGGCGGCUUUCUGGACUGAAACUGACGCUGAGGCACGAAAGCGUGGGGAGCGAACAGG
rnacentral:rRNA from 1 species